rnacentral:rRNA from 1 species
CCCAAGUCCAAGCUUGAAUAUGGCUUUUGUUCAGGCCCAGAGAGGGUGAAAGGCCCGUGGGGACUGGAGUGGUGCUCGAUUGUGCUUGCUAUGGAGUCGGGUUGUUUGUGAAUGCAGCCCAAAGUUGGUGGUAAACUCCAUCUAAGGCUAAAUACUGGCACGAGUCCGAUAGCGAACAAGUACCGUGAGGGAAAGUUGAAAAGUACUCUGAAGAGAGAGUAAACAGUGCGUGAAACCGCUUGGAGGUAAACGGGUGUAGUCAAGCUGCAAGCCGCGAGGAUUCAACCAAUGAGUAUGGCGUGAGCCUGGGCACAUUGAGUGGUUUGAGAAGUUCGUUAAAGGCAGGACAUGGCUUGCCUUCGUGGUAGGUCUUGUGUGGGGACGUUAAUAUGUCGUCUCGCGCUUCUCUUUCCAUGCUCAGCUCGUUGGUGCAUUUCUUCGUGGCGUCAGCCACGACCGUUGUUGCUGUCGGUCUGCUUUGGCUAAACCUGCUGGAUGUGGCCUUGUGCUCAUGUUUAGUGGGCUGGCAGGUAAUCUGACGAGCCUUUUUGGUUUGUUGGGUGUAACUUGGCUGGUCAAAGCGGUAACUGUAACCGUGCAGUGCGACGGAGAUUGCGGCCCAGUGUGGCGUGGCGUGCUAAAGUGCUUUGGCGUGGUUCAAGUUUGGCUGCUUGUUGCUAAUUUAUUUUGGCCUUGCGGUGGCUUGGCUGCGGUUUAAGGUACGGCGGCGUCGGCCUAUCCCAUGCGUGGUGCUUACAGUCUGUGGCGUCG